ensembl:lncRNA
UUAGUAUUUUAUAGAUAUGUCUAAAAUAUAUAGAUUUUAUAGUUUAUAAAUGGAAGCCAAGCUCAAGCUACAUGUUUAUAGAUGAAGUCUUGAAAUCCAGGGCUUGAAAUGAAUUAUCUCCUGUGAGCGUUGGUUCUCUCUGGCGGUAUCUCCCCGAGGGUAUGUCCCUCGGGUGCACCUCUUCAAUUCUGGCCUACUGGAUGUGACUCUAGAUACUGUCUGGGGAAGUGGAGACUGGAGGGAAAAUAUCAUGGUGACUCCAGAGACUCAGAAACCAAACAAAAUCAUCUUUCUGUGACUCAGUAUUGGAUGGAUUAUUGGAAUCUGUGACUAAAAUACAUCUGUGGAG